UUUGCAUGAUACUUGGUUGCUUCACUAUAUUUACCAUUUAAUUUUAAAUCAGAUAUGCAUUGCAAUGAGUAUGUUAAUAUGAAGACUUUGAACGCUGAGUUGUCGGCGUUUUGUUGAUUUGAAGGAUACUUUAUAGAAGAUGAAUGUGAAUACAUUAGAUUAUUUUACAAAAGUCUAUAUUUGAAUCGUAUGCUUAUUGUCGACAAAUAAUGAUUUCAAAUUAUAUAUCGCCCGAAUUGUAAAGUUACUAUUAACCUUAGUCUAAACUUGCUGCAGCGCUACAAACCCAAAACAGUAUAUAUUUAAUGACUGCAUAAGCUGUCCGCGUAACACUUUAUGUUGUCUAGGAAUAAAUUUCAGUGUACGGGCAUAAGUUUGUACAUUGUUAUUACUCAAACAAAAGGAUUUCACUUCUGUAGCACGCAAAGGAAAAUAAUGCUUUAAUAAAUGUGUUAUUACGAUAAAUAAUCGUAUAUAUUUCAUCCGAUGAAAAUCCUUACCAUCGACAAAUCAAGUACCCAAAGGUUACAAGAGUACAACUAUCAACGAUAAGUAUAUACAAGGAAACUCAUAGUUUAACAUAAGAAUAUCAGUAUUCAAACUUUAUGCUUCGAAGCGAGUUGGCGGUUAAUUACAAAUACCCUGCCUUCUGGAGUCAUAUCAGAGCGUAAAAAAGAAGGAAGAAGUAGCCUAGGCCAGUUGAUAAACUGGAGUCCGUGGGCAAAACAGUAAUAAAGAGAUGCAACUAUUCCCAAAAAUGUCAGGAUCAAAAGAAUUGAAGGUGGAAGGAUCGUAGAAGAAGAUCUAGAAAACAAUGUCAUGAAGAAAAGGAUUAAACAUGCCAAUAAUAUAUAAGGGACACAACGAAUAGUAAGAGGACGUAAAUCUAAUCUAUAUCGGAAGUUAACAUCGGGUCUAAACUGUCCAAGUACUAAAUCAUAAGCAUCUUGACGUGCUCCAUCAUAAAAAUUAUUUAAAAUAUAACGUUUAGCAGAGUUAACAAAAUCGUUAAAAGCGCCUUUUCGAGUUCGAAUACCGGUUCUAGUAAAAUCGGUUUUCAAAGCUCCUGUACCAGAAUAAGAAAGACUAAUGUAAUCUGCAUUAUCAGACCAAAUGUUGCAAAAAAUGUUAUCAAGAGGAAUGACGGAACGAAGGGGAUGGGUAGCACCUAUAAUUCCGCAUUUACGAAGUUGAUUCGUAAGCACCCAGCGACCUAUACAGCUUUGGACCACAUUGGUUCUAUCAAGACAAUCCAUGCAGUUGGAGCGUACAACGCCAUUCUGACGAGAUAAAACACGGUACUUUUGAGUGUCUAAUGUAGUGUAGCCUUGCUCUUCUAACUCGGGUUGUAUUUCAUUUAAAAGGAGUGAAACCCGGUCCCACCUCAUAUGGCUACAUUCUUUAUGAAAGUCAAAAUAAUGAUAAUGGAUAUGGGGAUUAUCCAAACGACGUAUAACAUUUUCAUAUAACUGUUUAAUAGGAAGCUCAUGUCCUUUACAGUUGACCAAAUUAACUACAACCUGGUCACCGUAUAUGGAUAUUUGCUCGUCGAAAUGCUUUUUUGCAGCGGCUGCAGCCAUUGAAGCAGAAUUUGCAACCAUCAAUGGUUUAUAGCGAAGAUUAUUAACCUCUGCCCAAAAAGCAGGAACACUACCGCGGGUCUGAACAUGUGAAUAAGUGACCUCUGACUUUUCGUCUGAAACGAUAGUAAUCUGCUCAGUUUCAUUGAAGUUGGCGGGGUUUCCAUUCUCGUCUAAACCUCUGGUAAAAUAUCUAGUACCGGCGCGUUGUUUAGAGCGUCGAGAUAUUAAUGCUAACGUGAUUGUUCGUCCCUUAACAAUAGUGGAAGCAGAAGUGAUGAAGCCGUAAAUCAUUGGCGUAAUGAAAAGUGAUACUUCAGAAUGGGCACCGAUAAGAUCAAUGAAAUCUUUACUAGCAAACUCGUUCCAAAAAAAUCGUUUAUCACUUCGAAGAAUAGGUGAGGCCUUUCCCUCAUCCGUACAAGAACGUUGUAGGGAGUUAGUAAGGUCCCAUGUGUACGAGAAGUAAAAAGGUCCUGUUUUCAAAUGAUUUUGUAACAAAUUGUAUAAAUCCAAUUCAUCUUGAUCGUCAGCUAGUAGGUUACGAUAGGGAAUAACUUCAAAUUUAUGAACACGAUAUAUUUUAUGUCCCAAAAUUUGGGCUGCACUAGAUUUUUCUGUAGCUAAAAUAAGAUAUUUAUCUUUUUUCAGCUUGAUUGAACCAAACAAUGUGACACUAUUUUCUUUGCUGCGGGCAACUGGUUUCAACUCGUCCGGCUCAAAACUAACUGCACCACUUUCUCGGUCAAUUGUUAAACAACAAUCUUCUCGACGAAGCUUAAAUUGCUUCUCGUUUGCUUCAAACUGAACCAUGAAGAAAUUUUCUAAAGUUUUUGUAGGAUAGAUACCAAGAUCUGUGAAGUUGAUGGUUGGUAGACGGCAGACAACGAACCUGCUUACUGCUGUACUGUAACAUACGGUUUUCUAUGCUAAGUCAUGUGGUA